rnacentral:piRNA from 1 species
UNGGAAAAUAUUACAGAUGGCACCCAAAC